rnacentral:rRNA from 1 species
CAUGCAAGUCGAACGAUGAACCACUUCGGUGGGGAUUAGUGGCGAACGGGUGAGUAACACGUGGGCAAUCUGCCCUGCACUCUGGGACAAGCCCUGGAAACGGGGUCUAAUACCGGAUACUGAUCCGCCUGGGCAUCCAGGCGGUUCGAAAGCUCCGGCGGUGCAGGAUGAGCCCGCGGCCUAUCAGCUUGUUGGUGAGGUAGUGGCUCACCAAGGCGACGACGGGUAGCCGGCCUGAGAGGGCGACCGGCCACACUGGGACUGAGACACGGCCCAGACUCCUACGGGAGGCAGCAGUGGGGAAUAUUGCACAAUGGGCGAAAGCCUGAUGCAGCGACGCCGCGUGAGGGAUGACGGCCUUCGGGUUGUAAACCUCUUUCAGCAGGGAAGAAGCGAAAGUGACGGUACCUGCAGAAGAAGCGCCGGCUAACUACGUGCCAGCAGCCGCGGUAAUACGUAGGGCGCAAGCGUUGUCCGGAAUUAUUGGGCGUAAAGAGCUCGUAGGCGGCUUGUCACGUCGGUUGUGAAAGCCCGGGGCUUAACCCCGGGUCUGCAGUCGAUACGGGCAGGCUAGAGUUCGGUAGGGGAGAUCGGAAUUCCUGGUGUAGCGGUGAAAUGCGCAGAUAUCAGGAGGAACACCGGUGGCGAAGGCGGAUCUCUGGGCCGAUACUGACGCUGAGGAGCGAAAGCGUGGGGAGCGAACAGGAUUACAUA